UACGUAGGGUGCGAGCGUUAAUCGGAAUUACUGGGCGUAAAGCGUGCGCAGGCGGUUCGUUGUGUCGGCGGUGAAAGCCCCGGGCUCAACCUGGGAAUGGCCGUUGAAACUGGCGAACUGGAGUGUGGCAGAGGGGGGUGGAAUUCCGCGUGUAGCAGUGAAAUGCGUAGAUAUCGGGAGGAACACCAGUGGCGAAGGCGGUUGCCUGGGGCUUUGCUGACGCUGAUGCGCGAAAGCGUGGGGAGCGAUCCGG
rnacentral:rRNA from 1 species